AACUCAAAUGAAUGACGGGGCCCCGCACAAGCAGCGGAGCGUGUGGUUUAAUUCGAUGCUACACGAAGAACCUUACCAGGGUUUGACAUACAAGUAGUAGGGAAAGGAAACUGGACCGACCCUUCGGGGAGCUUGAACAGGUGCUGCAUGGCUGUCGUCAGCUCGUGUCGUGAGAUGUUCGGUUAAGUCCGCUAACGAGCGCAACCCUCGCUGUGUGUUACAAGUGUCACACGGAACUGCCGGUCAUAAACCGGAGGAAGGUGGGGAUGACGUCAAGUCAGCAUGGCCUUUAUAUCCUGGGCUACACACACGCUACAAUGGGAAGGGACAAUAGGUUGCGAAACCGCGAGGUGGAGCCAAUCCAGCAAAACUUCCCUCAGUUCAGAUUGCAGGCUGCAACUCGCCUGCAUGAAGUUGGAGUUGCUAGUAAACGCAGGUCAGCCAUACUGCGUUGAAUACGUUCCCGGGGCUU
rnacentral:rRNA from 1 species